AUACAGUGUGUACGGUCAGCAGAGUGAGUCUGAACACUGAAAGGAAGGAAGGUGUAAAAAUGACGAGAAAUCACUUUCAUUUUUCUGUCUUUUUAAUUCCCCUUCACACUCUAUCUGUCUGUUCCUGUCAGAGUUAGAGAAGAGAGGGAGUGAAAACAGCGCUGAAGGGGUAAUAAUGGAUGGCAGAGGAAAAGAGAGUGUAUUGGCUGAACAGAUUAUGUUGGUGAAGGAGAGAGAGGGCAGAGUGUCAGAUGGAAAGGUGAAGGGAGAGAGGGAGAGAAAGAGAGCGAGAGAGAGAGAGAGAGAGAGAGAGAGUUGGAGGAGGUAGACUGACAGACUGAGGGGUAUUUGUGGCCGGUCACAGAGAUAAGCACAUUCUGUUCUCCCUCUCAAGCGUGUGGGCAAAAACACACACACACACAUAUACACACACAUAUACACACACACAAACACACACACGCACACAGUUCAAUUGCAAUGAGCUCUUGGCACCUGACAGAAGUUCACUUGCUCAGCCCUCUGUUGUCAUGGAAACGAUCAGAUUGGUUCGCCAGCCUGCGAGCCGUCCUCUGAGUUGAGAAAGGAAGGAGGUUUGUGUGUGCUUGCUUGUGACCAUGCAUGCAUGAAUUAGUGUGUUUAUGGUGUGUGAUUGUGUGUAGUUCAAGUUUGUCUGUUUGCAUUUACGAAGGAUCCCCAUUAGCUGCUCCCAAGGCAGCAGCAACAUUAAGGCAGUUAACUUAAAAUAUUACAUGACAUUAUAUUUCAGAACACUGUUCACAUUAAGUGUGUUCUAUUGUGUUUCUUAAACAGGAAGACAUGUAACAAGUCAGUGUGUAUCUCUGGGUGUUUUUUUUUAAAGUUUAUUGUCUUAGAGUUUUGGUACAGUUUGUCAUAGUUGCUAAGCAACCUGCCAAGUAUCUUGCUCAGUGGUCAGAUCAGUGGUCAGAUCAGUGGUCAGCUCAGUGGUCAGUGGUCAGCUCAGUGGUCAGAUCAGUGGUCAGGUCUGUGGUCAGUGGUCAGCUCAGUGGUCAGAUCAGUGGUCAGGUCUGUGGUCAGUGGUCAGCUCAGUGGUCAGCUCAGUGGUCAGGUCUGUGGUCAGUGGUCAGCUCAGUGGUCAGCUCAGUGGUCAG
rnacentral:lncRNA from 1 species